GACCAUGGGAAUGAUAGUUGGGA
rnacentral:piRNA from 1 species